rnacentral:lncRNA from 1 species
CCAUAAAAUCCCUUGCAUCAGUAUCUAAAUCAGUACUGGCUUGAAUAACAGGGAGAGUGUGUGUACAUGGGGGCUGGAAACCCAGGGAGACCACCUUGGAACUCUGACCUCAUGCACCUACUUGUGGAGAAGCCGAGAGGCCCAAAUGAACAAGAGUAUGGAAAAUACCCAGCACACAGCAAGCAAGUUCCAGGAUUUAUUCACUGCUAUUCUGGUGCAGAAGUCCAAAACAAAGCCCACAGAAAGAGAUAAAUAAAAAGCCCUCCACCUCUUGUACAAUUUGAAGGUGGACUCUGUCUCUGAAAGAAGUCAGGAGAGGUGGGAGAUGCAACACUAGCGGAGAAGGAAGGAGAACAUGGGACACAUCUGAGAACUUCCCUGGAUCCUGGUUCGGAAAAUGCAGCGUAUG